UACGAAGGGGGCUAGCGUUGCUCGGAAUCACUGGGCGUAAAGGGCGCGUAGGCGGACAGUUUAGUCAGAGGUGAAAGCCCAGGGCUCAACCUUGGAAAUGCCUUUGAUACUGGCUGUCUUGAGUUCGGGAGAGGUGUGUGGAACGCCGAGUGUAGAGGUGAAAUUCGUAGAUAUUCGGCAGAACACCAGUGGCGAAGGCGACACACUGGCCCGAUACUGACGCUGAGGCGCGAAAGCGUGGGAGCAAACAGGG
rnacentral:rRNA from 1 species